GUUAAUUUUGUGUAAAUAUUAUGGAACAAAGUCUUCAUCUCAUUUCUGAAGGACUACACCAAGGCUCAAAUCCCUAGAACAUGCAACAUACUUUAAAGGAGAGCCACUAGAUGAUACAGGCGACAUCAACCACUCAGUUGAGCAAGUGCUCCAUGGUCAGCAGGUUUCACUCAAUGGAGGAUUGUCAGAUCUGAAGACUGGCAAACUUCAAACUCACAGAACUUUGGAGAUGAAGAAGUCCACUUUCUCAAGGAACUCUUUGAACCAGCUUUAAAGCUGCAGAUGUUGCUUUAGAGGACUUGGAGGUGGAGUGGAAUUUGAUGAAGAACAGAGUGUAUACAAGGUACAAAACUGUCACUGAAGCACAGUGGAAUGAAAUCAUCCCUGCUGUUCAGGAAACAAAACCACCUUCAUCAAUCUGCUUCUGAUCAUACCUGUACCUGCCAGGUUGGCCGAAGCAGAAAGAAGGUUUUGCAGAAUGAAACUUCUGAAGACGAAGUCUCGAACCUGCCUCGAGGAUGAUUGCAUCAGUGACCAGUCGGUUGUCAUGCUACAGACCCCUCCCAGAAAAGACUUUGACCCAAUGCCCGUGAUUAACGGGGGGAACAAGGAGAAUCAAGAAGGCACACCAUGAACCCCCAAGACCUGUGGGUCCAAGAUUGUGACAGUUCUUCAGAUGAAGAUCAGGCUGAAGGUCAUGGCAGUGACUCUGGCAACUCCCGUGGAGAUAAUUCUCUAGAUGAUUUUGAUCCCGACUCUGUGACCAGUGACACAAGUGUCGUUUUUUAACUAACAUACAUGCCUCUUUAUUAUUUCUACCGUCAGCAUUUUUUUUUCUGAAAUGUCAAAUUCUUCACUGGUAAGCUGAUAACAAAUUUUGGGGUUUUCUUAUUUUAUAUACAGACUAGCAAAACUCGAAACGGGCAAGUAAAAUAUCCAGUUAACUAGCCCAGUGGGCUAGCCAGGAAAAAAAGUUAGCACAGGGCCUGGAUUCUGUAAGUUUAGAACAUGUUCUUUAAUUUUCAAGAUUAAUGUAAUGUACAUAAAUUGCCUGCCAAACAAAGAAAAAUAGUUUGAAGUCAGUUUCAGUGAUUUUUUUCUACACUCAGAUGGUCUUUUAUAGGGACAGAAACAUGUCACACAUUUAGACCCCAAAUUUAUACCCGUAGAAUGAUCCAUAAUAUAAUUGUUAAGCCUCAUACUUUUGUGUCAUUUACUUGCAGCACAUGUAUACAUUUACUGGUACCGGUACAUCACACACAUCAAACAGGAUAAAUUAAUCAUAUUUUCGAAGCAUAUUUGCACCUUUAUCGGUAAGUGAAGGGAUUUUUCACGUGAGUGUGAAAAAUGCAUUUAACCUUGCUACAUGUUUGCACAGUAAAAAAGCUGAUAAUGGCAGAAUAACAAUUAUCCUGCAUCAGUGUGCAUAUUGUCCAGUAUAUUUUAGACUGGUGUCAAAUUUGAACCUCUUUAACAAAGUGGGUCGUUGCAUGUGUAAUAUUGACACUUCCAUGUUGUGAAAGUAUUUUUCCUUGAA